AUUGAACGCUGGCGGCAUGCCUUACACAUGCAAGUCGAACGGCAGCACGGGAGCAAUCCUGGUGGCGAGUGGCGAACGGGUGAGUAAUAUAUCGGAACGUGCCCAGUCGUGGGGGAUAACGUAGCGAAAGCUACGCUAAUACCGCAUACGAUCUACGGAUGAAAGCAGGGGAUCGCAAGACCUCGCGCGAUUGGAGCGGCCGAUAUCAGAUUAGGUAGUUGGUGAGGUAAAGGCUCACCAAGCCGACGAUCUGUAGCUGGUCUGAGAGGACGACCAGCCACACUGGGACUGAGACACGGCCCAGACUCCUACGGGAGGCAGCAGUGGGGAAUUUUGGACAAUGGGCGCAAGCCUGAUCCAGCAAUGCCGCGUGCAGGAUGAAGGCCUUCGGGUUGUAAACUGCUUUUGUACGGAACGAAACGGUGAGCUCUAAUACAGUUUGCUAAUGACGGUACCGUAAGAAUAAGCACCGGCUAACUACGUG
rnacentral:rRNA from 1 species